CGGGGUGUAGCGCAGUUGGUUAGCGUGCCUGCUUUGGGAGCAGGAGGUCCCAAGUUCGAAUCCUGGUACCCCGA
rnacentral:tRNA from 1 species